AGUACGUGAAACUGCUUAGAGGUUAAGCCCGAUGAACCUGAAUAUCCGUUAUGGAAAAUUCAUCACUAAUACUAUGAUAUAUAUCAUAUUAUAGAAAUAGUGUGCAAUUUUUCCAUAUAAGGACAUUGUAAUCUGUUAAUGUAAUAAAUAUUUAUCAUAAGAUCUUUUACUUAAGUUUAUUUAAAUUAGUUAUUUUCGGAUUUCUAACAUAAAAUAAAUGUAUUUGAUUUGAUAAAUCAUUGACAGAUUUAAUUAUAUAUAGUGCUUAAAUUUUUCGGAAUUUUACAAUGCUGAAUAAAUCUAUUGAUUUAUUUAUAUUGUAUGCGCUUAUAUGAUUAACAAUGCGAUAGAUUCAGGAUACCUUCGGGACCCGUCUUGAAACACGGACCAAGGAGUCUAACAUAUGUGCAAGUCAUUGGGUAUUUUUAAUAAAACCCAAUGGCGUAAUUAACUUAACUGUUUUUUAAAUGGGAUUAGUUUAUAUUUUAUUAUGAAAUAUGAAUUCAAUCCCGGGGCGUUCUAUACAGUUAUGCAUAAUGAUAUUUAUAUUAUUUAUGCCUCUAACUAGAGC
rnacentral:rRNA from 1 species